AUUGAACGCUGGCGGCAGGCCUAACACAUGCAAGUCGAGCGAGCGGCGGACGGGUGAGUAAUGUCUGGGAAACUGCCUGAUGGAGGGGGAUAACUACUGGAAACGGUAGCUAAUACCGCAUACCAUCAGAUGUGCCCAGAUGGGAUUCGCUAGUAGGUGGGGUAAUGGCUCACCUUGGCGACGAUCCCUAGCUGGUCUGAGAGGAUGACCAGCCACACGGUAACUGAGACACGGACCAGACCCCUACGGGAGGCAGCAGGGGGGAAUAUUGCACAAGGGGCGCAAGCCUGAUGCAGCCAUGCCGCGUGUGUGAAGAAGGCCUUCGGGGUGUAAAGCACUUUCAGCGGGGAGGCGUUACCCGCAGAAGAAGCACCGGCUAACUCCGUGCCGGCAGCCGCGGUAAUAC
rnacentral:rRNA from 1 species